UAGUAGAAGUUUAAUUUAAAGGUUUCCCCAGUUGUUAUGGAAUAUAUCAACACAAUGCCUACGUGUAAUUCAUAUGGGUGUGUCUUGUGUCUUAUGUUUAAUAAAAGAUGAUGCCCUAACCCGUAGCUGGUGUUGUGAACUUUGUUGAACCUAGCUUCACGCACAAAAUACCGACUGCUACAUUAAUAGGUUAUCCAAUUAAAUUUACUUUAAAAUAAGGUAUUGGGAUCCAACUCAAUAAUUGCACUUUCCUGUUUACUAAAUCUGGGAUAGAUAAUUAAUUACAUUAACUG